UUCGCAAUGCCCGAAAGGGUGACGAAGCGACGCCGCGUGCGGGAAGAAGGCCUUCGGGUUGUAAACCGCUGUCGGGAGUUAAGAAAUGCAAGGAUGUUAAUAGCAUCUUUGCUUGACUAAGGCUCCGGAGGAAGCCACGGCUAACUCUGUGCCAGCAGCCGCGGUAAUACAGAGGCGGCAAGCGUUGUUCGGAAUUAUUGGGCGUAAAGGGCACGUAGGCGGCCUUGUAAGUCAGUUGUGAAAGCCUUCUGCUUAACGGAAGAACAGCAGCUGAUACUGCAAGGCUAGAGUGCGGAAGGGGAGAGUGGAACUUCUGGUGGAGCGGUGAAAUGCGUAGAUAUCAGAAGGAACACCGGCGGCGAAGGCGACUCUCUGGUCCGUAACUGACGCUGAGUGUGCGAAAGCUAGGGGAGCAAACGGGAUUAGAUACCCCGGUAAUCCUAGCCGUAAAC
rnacentral:rRNA from 1 species